AUAAUUUUCAUUGCUGUGUUGUUAUAUUUGAUCACAUUUGAAAAUUACCUUUUCUUCGUUUGUUUCGAAGGCUUACUUAUUUAUUGCUUUGCUCAGAGAUAAUUUAAUUUAAUUUAUUUUCAUUUCAUCUCCAUAUGAAUGAAUGCCCCUUUUGGCUUCUUGUGAAUGAAGAACGGAAAGAAAAAAAUUUCACUCAUAUCAAUCCAUUCGAUCUAUAAUACACACACACUCAAAUAAAAUCGGAAAUCCGAAUGUUACACGCUUAUCGAUUUUAUAACAAAGUGAAAACAGACAAAAUUGAUUCAAUUUCCGUGCGAAAAAGGCUCAAUGAUCGUAAUCAUAGCAUUGUAACAAAGACGAAGAAGAAGAAGAAAAAUAAAAGUGACGGGCAACUGGUAUAUAACUGGUAAUUACCGUAUAGGUUAACGUACAUUUGACUAUAAAAAAAAACAAAAUAAACACCGAAACAGACAAUAUGUGCAGAACAUUCAUAUUGUGUAAUUUGGACAAUAAUUAAUUUCCAUAAUUUGGCAUGAAUGAACAUUCUCCAAAACAAUUAGUAACCAAAAUAAACAUCCUUCAAUAAAUCAUCCAAUCAGGUUUGUAUGUCAUUCAUGUGUGGCCGGAUGUUAUAUUUAUUCUUUCUCUAUAUACAUCAAAUAUGGCAAAUGGUCAUUUUUGGCAUUUUUGGAAAGCUUGAAAAUGAAACUUCUCUGUGUGUAUAAAUAUAAAUAUAAAUAACGGUAUUAUUGUUC